CGGAAUGCUUUACACAUGCAAGUCGAGCGGCAGCGCGGGGCAACCUGGCGGCGAGCGGCGAACGGGUGAGUAACAUAUCGGAACGUACCCUGUCGUGGGGGAUAACUAUCCGAAAGGAUAGCUAAUACCGCAUACGACCUGAGGGUGAAAGCGGGGGAUCGCAAGACCUCGCGCGAUAGGAGCGGCCGAUAUCGGAUUAGCUAGUUGGUGAGGUAAAGGCUCACCAAGGCGACGAUCCGUAGCUGGUCUGAGAGGACGACCAGCCACACUGGAACUGAGACACGGUCCAGACUCCUACGGGAGGCAGCAGUGGGGAAUUUUGGACAAUGGGGGCAACCCUGAUCCAGCCAUUCCGCGUGAGUGAAGAAGGCCUUCGGGUUGUAAAGCUCUUUCGGCAGGAACGAAACGGUGGCCCCGAAUACGGGUUACUAAUGACGGUACCUGAAGAAGAAGCACCGGCUAACUACGUGCCAGCAGCCGCGGUAAUACGU
rnacentral:rRNA from 1 species